rnacentral:rRNA from 1 species
CUCAAAUUUGAAAUCUGGCACCUUCGGUGUCCGAGUUGUAAUUUGAAGAAGGUAACUUUGGAGUUGGCUCUUGUCUAUGUUCCUUGGAACAGGACGUCACAGAGGGUGAGAAUCCCGUGCGAUGAGAUGCCCAAUUCUAUGUAAAGUGCUUUCGAAGAGUCGAGUUGUUUGGGAAUGCAGCUCUAAGUGGGUGGUAAAUUCCAUCUAAAGCUAAAUAUUGGCGAGAGACCGAUAGCGAACAAGUACAGUGAUGGAAAGAUGAAAAGAACUUUGAAAAGAGAGUGAAAAAGUACGUGAAAUUGUUGAAAGGGAAGGGCUUGAGAUCAGACUUGGUAUUUUGCGAUCCUUUCCUUCUUGGUUGGGUUCCUCGCAGCUUACUGGGCCAGCAUCGGUUUGGAUGGUAGGAUAAUGACUAAGGAAUGUGGCUCUACUUCGGUGGAGUGUUAUAGCCUUGGUUGAUACUGCCUGUCUAGACCGAGGACUGCGUCUUU